AUUGAACGCUGGCGGCAGGCCUAACACAUGCAAGUCGAACGAGUGGCGGACGGGUGAGUAAUGUCUGGGAAACUGCCUGGUGGAGGGGGAUAACUACUGGAAACGGUAGCUAAUACCGCAUACCAUCAGAUGUGCCCAGAUGGGAUUAGCUUGUUGGUGGGGUAACGGCUCACCAAGGCGACGAUCCCUAGCUGGUCUGAGAGGAUGACCAGCCACCCUGGAACGGAGACACGGUCCAGACGCCGACGGGAGGCAGCAGUGGGGAAGAUUGAACAAGGGGCGCAAGCCUGAUGCAGCCAUGCCGCGUGUCUGAAGAAGGCCUUCGGGUUGUAAAGUACGUUCAGCGGGGAGGCGUUAUCCGAAGAAGAAGCACCGGCUAACUCCGUGCCAGCAGCCGCGGUAAUAC
rnacentral:rRNA from 1 species